rnacentral:rRNA from 1 species
AAUGAACGCUGGCGGCAUGGAUUAGGCAUGCAAGUCGAACGCUCACUUCGGUGAGAGUGGCGAAAGGGUGAGUAACGCGUGAGCAACUUGCCCCCAAGUUUGGGAUAACUGUUGGAAACGACAGCUAAUACCGGAUGUAGUAACUUUUAAGCAUUUUCUAGUUACUAAAGGUUUACUGCUUGGGGAUAGGCUCGCGUCCCAUUAUGCUAGUUGGUAAGGUAACGGCUUACCAAGGCUAUGACGGGUAGGUGGUCUGAGAGGAUGGUCACCCACACUGGGACUGAGACACUGCCCAGACUCCUGCGGGAGGCUGCAGUCGAGAAUCUUCCACAAUGCGCGAAAGCGUGACGGAGCAAUGCCGCGUGAGGGAUGAAGGCUUUCGGGUCGUAAACCUCUGUCAGAAGGGAAAAACAAUGAUUGUACCUUCAGAGGAAGCCACGGCUAACUACG